ACACCCUCAAGCUCUGCUUGGUGUUGGGCGUCUGUCCCGCCUUCGCGCGUGGACUCGCCCCAAAUUCAUUGGCAGCGGUCCUUGCCUCCUCUCGCGCAGCACAAUUGCGUCUGCGAGGGGGCGUGGCCCGCGUCCACGAAGCAACAUUACCGUCU
rnacentral:misc_RNA from 1 species